rnacentral:rRNA from 1 species
AUUGAACGCUGGCGGCAUGCUUUACACAUGCAAGUCGAACGGCAGCGCGGGCUUCGGCCUGGCGGCGAGUGGCGAACGGGUGAGUAAUGCAUCGGAACGUGCCCAGUAGUGGGGGAUAGCCCGGCGAAAGCCGGAUUAAUACCGCAUACGACCUGAGGGUGAAAGCGGGGGACCGAAAGGCCUCGCGCUAUUGGAGCGGCCGAUGUCGGAUUAGCUAGUUGGUGGGGUAAAGGCUUACCAAGGCGACGAUCCGUAGCUGGUCUGAGAGGACGACCAGCCACACUGGGACUGAGACACGGCCCAGACUCCUACGGGAGGCAGCAGUGGGGAAUUUUGGACAAUGGGGGCAACCCUGUUCCAGCCAUGCCGCGUGCGGGAAGAAGGCCUUCGGGUUGUAAACCGCUUUUGUUCGGGAAGAAAUCCUCUGGGCUAAUACCCCGGGGGGAUGACGGUACCGGAAGAAUAAGCACCGGCUAACUACGUG